rnacentral:rRNA from 1 species
UACGUAGGGGGCUAGCGUUGUCCGGAAUCAUUGGGCGUAAAGCGCGUGUAGGCGGUCCGGUAAGUCCGCUGUGAAAGUCGGGGGCUCAACCCUCGGAUGCCGGUGGAUACUGUCGGGCUUGAGUACGGAAGAGGCGAGUGGAAUUCCUGGUGUAGCGGUGAAAUGCGCAGAUAUCAGGAGCAACACCAAUUGCGAAGGCAGCUCGCUGGGACGUUACUGACGCUGAGACGCGAAAGCGUGGGGAGCAAACAGG